UAAUGUCUGGGAAACUGCCUGAUGGAGGGGAAGUAACUACUGGAAACGGUAGCUAAUACCGCAUAAUGUCGCAAGACCAAAGUGGGGGACCUUCGGGCCUCAUGCCAUCAGAUGUGCCCAGAUGGGAUUAGCUAGUAGGUGGGGUAACGGCUCACCUAGGCGACGAUCCCUAGCUGGUCUGAGAGGAUGACCAGCCACACUGGAACUGAGACACGGUCCAG
rnacentral:rRNA from 1 species